GAUGAACGCUGCGGCGUGCCUAAUACAUGCAAGUCGCGCGAACGGACGAGAAGCUUGCUUCUCUGAUGUUAGCGGCGGACGGGUGAGUAACACGUGGAUAACCUACCUAUAAGACUGGGAUAACUUCGGGAAACCGGAGCUAAUACCGGAUAAUAUUUUGAACCGCAUGGUUCAAAAGUAAAAGACGGUCUUGCUGUCACUUAUAGAUGGAUCCGCGCUGCAUUAGCUAGUUGGUAAGGUAACGGCUUACCAAGGCAACGAUGCAUAGCCGACCUGAGAGGGUGAUCGGCCACACUGGAACUGAGACACGGUCCAGACUCCUACGGGAGGCAGCAGUAGGGAAUCUUCCGCAAUGGGCGAAAGCCUGACGGAGCAACGCCGCGUGAGUGAUGAAGGUCUUCGGAUCGUAAAACUCUGUUAUUAGGGAAGAACAUAUGUGUAAGUAACUGUGCACAUCUUGACGGUACCUAAUCAGAAAGCCACGGCUAACUACGUG
rnacentral:rRNA from 1 species